UUUUCCUCUCAGUUUAGUAUACUUUUGGGAUCCUUUUUGUACCUUUUUUAUAUGGAGGUUGAGCCUAUAGGCUGUUAGUAGAAAUCUGUAAAUUUGUAGGUCUGAUUCUCUAGACCGUUAGGCCACAUUCUGACCAUUUAAUGGGAGAGGAACUUUGCCAGUAUGAGUAGCCGAGUCAAUAACUUUGAAUCCACAUCUAGUGUGACUUCACCGAAUCAUUUUCGAUGUGCCCCAA
rnacentral:lncRNA from 1 species